CCUACGGGAGGCAGCAGGAGGGAAUCGUCCACAAUGGGCGAAAGCCUGAUGGAGCAACGCCGCGUGGGUGAAGAAGGUCUUCGGAACGGAAAACCCUGUUGGUAGAGAAGAAAGUGCGGGAGAGUAACUGUUCACGUGUAGACGGUAUCUAACCAGAAAGCCACGGCUAACUACGUGCCAGCAGCCGCGGUAAUACGUAGGUGGCAAGCGUUAAUCGGAUUUACUGGGCGAAAAGCUAUCGUAGGCGGUAUGUCAAGUCAAGGGUGAAAUCCCCGCGCUCAACGUGGGAACUGCCUUUGAAACUGGCAAACUGGAGUGUGUGAGAGGAUAGUGGAAUUCCAGGUGUAGUGGUGAAAUCCGUAGAUAUCUGGAGGAACAUCAGUGGCGAAGGCGACUAUCUGGAGCAUAACUGACGCUGAGGCGCGAAAGCGUGGGUAGCAAACAGGAUUAGAUACCCCGGUAGUC
rnacentral:rRNA from 1 species